CUUGCGGAUGAACAAGCCGGAUGAACAGCCAGAUCAAUGGAAAACUUGGAUAAUGUACCACAACAACCAGCAGGAUUCCACUAGCUGUGGAGUUUUAAUUUUGAUGUUUGCCAAGGAGUUCCUACGGACACGAACAAUCAGUGAAGUGAAGACCUCUCCGGAAUAUAUAAGGGAUGCACGACUGGAAAAAGCUUGUGCCUUACUCCAGUAUAAAGAUGCUGUAGGAGUCCCUUCAGGAUGUAGCCCCUUAUUCAAUAGAUCUAAACGCAUGCAAUAAGGUUA